rnacentral:rRNA from 1 species
AGAUUGAACGCUUGCGGGAUGCUUUACACAUGCAAGUCGAACGGCAGCGCGGACUUCGGUCUGGCGGCGAGUGGCGAACGGGUGAGUAAUAUAUCGGAACGUGCCCAGUAGCGGGGGAUAACUACGCGAAAGCGUGGCUAAUACCGCAUACGCCCUACGGGGGAAAGGGGGGAUCGCAAGACCUCUCACUAUUGGAGCGGCCGAUAUCAGAUUAGCUAGUUGGUGAGGUAAAGGCUCACCAAAGGCGACGAUCUGUAGCUGGUUUGAGAGGACGACCAGCCACACUGGGACUGAGACACGGCCCAGACUCCUACGGGAGGCAGCAGUGGGAAUUUGGACAAUGGGGGAAACCUGAUCCAGCCAUCCCGCGUGUGCGAUCGAAAGGCCUUACGGGUUCGGUAAAGACACG